rnacentral:rRNA from 1 species
CCCUUAGACGUUCUGGGCCGCACGCGCGCUACACUGACCAGUGCAACAAGCAUCCGUCCUUGGCCGACAGGCCCGGGCAAUCUUUGAACGCUGGUCGUGAUGGGGAUAGACUUUUGCAAUUUUUGGUCUUCAACGAGGAAUUCCUAGUAAACGCAAGUCAUCAACUUGCAUUGAUUACGUCCCUGCCCUUUGUACACACCGCCCGUCGCACCUACCGAUUGGGUGCUCCGGUGAAUUGUUUGGACUGCUGUCAGUCUUUUAGGCUGUUGGCGAGAAGCUCUGUGAACCUUAGCACCUAGAGGAAGGAGAAGUCGUAACA